GGCCUCGUAGCUUAGCUGGUAGAGUAUGCGCGCACAGAGUGUAGGCGUCCCUGAGUGGGUUCGAAUCCCACCGAGGAUA
rnacentral:tRNA from 1 species